AAAGAGAAGAUGCAGAGUGAGGAGAAUCUGUCUACAGGGGUUUAUGUUAAAAUGCUAAAAGUGUGUCGUUUUAAUUGUCGACACAAACUAGUCACAUCAUAGGUAUUUUCUUAAUUUCUUCAUUUUUUUAGGGUUUUAAACCAAUUCACCCUAUUAAUACUCGUACGCAAUGGUAGCUUGAUGUUUGUUAGUUGUAUUCAGACAUUUUUCUUUUUUGCAUUCCUCCCAAUUCAAUUUUGUAAAAAAAAAAAGAAAAAGUAGAAAUUUUUUCCUCAUCAAUUUUUAGUGGAGAAAUAAGAAAAUUAUGAAGUCGUUUCUAUUAUUAAAUAAUUUUAAUAAUAUUUGUAUAUUUUCAAAUUUAGUUUUUUGGGAAAUUAAUCAUUGUAAUUUUUUUAAAAACACAUUCAUCUUACAGUCACUAUUUCUCUAAAAAUAUUCAGAAAAUUUCAUAUUCAUAUUCAUUUUUCAAAAAAAAAUAUUUUCAUUCAUUUUUAUUUAUUCUUAUCAUUCAUUUUGACAUUAAUUAAUCAAAAUUAAUGAUAAUUAUUUUUAUUCUAUUCUACAUCUAAAUUUCAUAUCUUUUUUUUCUUCAUGUUCUUCUUUGUUUUAGUACUUUUACUUUAUAAUUUCUUUUUCGAAGAUAUUGCAUGCAUCAUAAUUUGGUUGACAUUAUGUAAUAUAGAUAUUCUUAUUUACAUUGUUUAUCUAAUGAAGAAGAUCAAAUAGUUUUCUUUGUGUAAUGAGUCUUAAAUUUAUAUCUUCUUGGAACUGAUAUAUAUCAUUUUUAUUAUGAAUUCUUUAGUAGUGAAAUUAAUUUGAACCCAUUUGAGUAGAAUAUGAGAUUUAGUAGUUUUGAGACUUUUACUUUUUAAUAUGUAAUAUUAAACGGAAAAUAAAAACUGAUAUUGAUGAUUUUGUAAAGCUCAUUUUUAUGGAGGAAAAGUGGUUAACUAUACAUAACAUUGUGCAUAUAUCAAAUGAAAGACAUUUAUGCAAAAUUGAUUAUUUUAUAUCAAACUAUCAUUUUAUUAAUCAAGUUUGAGGUGAUAUGAAUAACUAAAUCAAAAUAUUACGACAAUACAAGAUAAAUAACCUAUGAUAAUAACUAGCACUUCUCGCUAAUAUUUAUGUUGCAGAGUUUUCCGCCUGAGGUACAAAGGAGAGAUUGAAGUCAUUGAAACGUUCCAUCAUCCUAGAAAAAUCCUUCAAACUAUAUAGAGAAACAAUGCCAUACUCUUUGAUGUCGAGUCAUCAAGAUCAGCUCCGUGGACUGCCUGAGUGUUGAAGCAUGUAAUCCAUAUCCCAAAUGAGUGUUUCGAGUUCUGAGUGUAGGAGAGAUAUCCUACGAGUUUGAUUUUUAGAACCCAAUAAAUGAGUCUCCCAGGCCGAGACUGUCCAAACUCAACCGGACCCACUAUAUAUAGUGAAUCAUUACGCCACAAUCUGUUAACGUCUCAACGAGAUAGACGUUUUGUAAGCGUAAUACUUCUGCAUAUGGAAGUGGAAUUUGUCUUGAAUUUUUAUUUGGCUCUUCAGCAUUUACUUCAUGCCAAACACGACAUUCACCUUCCACGUAUCAAACAGUUUUCAGGGGGUUUCUGUUGGUAUCUUUGAAAAGAUUUUCAUUUCUAAUUUUUCAUAUAUACUAUAUUAAUUAUCACAGUGAAUACAUGUCUCUGUUUUCGGCAAGCA
rnacentral:lncRNA from 1 species